rnacentral:rRNA from 1 species
ACACGUAGGUGACUUGCCCCGAAGAUGGGGAUAACCUCUGGAAACGGGGGCUAAUACCCAAUGUGCUCGGUGAUUCGGUUGAUCGAGUAAAGCUCCGGCGCUUCGGGAGAGGCCUGCGGCCCAUCAGCUAGUUGGUAGGGUAACGGCCUACCAAGGCAGAGACGGGUAGGGGGCGUGAGAGCGCGGACCCCCACACUGGCACUGCGACACGGGCCAGACUCCUACGGGAGGCAGCAGUAAGGAAUAUUGCGCAAUGGACGAAAGUCAGACGCAGCGACGCCGCGUGGGCGAUGAAGGCCUUCGGGUUGUAAAGCCCUUUUAUGGGGGAAGAGAAAAAGGACGGUACCCCAUGAAUAAGUCCCGGCUAACUACGUGCCAGCAGCCGCGGUAAAACGUAGGGGACAAGCGUUAUCCGGAUUCACUGGGCGUAAAGAGCGUUGAGGCGGUUCCGUAAGUUGGGCGUGAAAGCUCCGGGCUUAACCCGGAGAUGUCGUUCAAUACUGCGGGGCUUGAGGACAGCAGAGGAAGGUGGAAUUCCCGGUGUAGUGGUGAAAUGCGUAGAUAUCGGGAGGAACACCCGUGGCGAAGGCGGCCUUCUGGGCUGUUCCUGACGCUGAAGGCGAAAGCUAGGGGAGCGAACGGGAUUAGAUACCCCGGUAGUCCUAGCUGUAAACGAUGGAUGCUGGGUGUGGGGGGUGUAAAUUCCCUCUGUGCCGAAGCAAACGCGUUAAGCAUCCCGCCUGGGGACUACGGCCGCAAGGCUAAAACUCAAACGAAUUGACGGGGGCCCGCACAAGCAGCGGAGCGUGUGGUUUAAUUCGAUGCUACACGAAGAACCUUACCUGGGUUUGACAUGCACGUGGUAGGGAACCGAAAGGGGACCGACCUUCGGGAGCGUGCACAGGUGCUGCAUGGCUGUCGUCAGCUCGUGCUGUGAGGGUGGAGUUAAGUCCGGUAACGAGCGCAACCCUUGCCCUUAAGUUACAAGUGUCUAAGGGGACUGCCCGGGACAAUUGGGAGGAAGGUGGGGAUGAUGUCAAGUCAGCAUGUCCUUUAUAUCCAG